rnacentral:rRNA from 1 species
CCUACGGGGGGCAGCAGUAAGGAAUAUUGGUCAAUGGACGCAAGUCUGAACCAGCCAUGCCGCGUGAAGGAUGAAGGCCUCUGGGUUGUAAACUUCUUUUAUCUGGGAAGCGGUACCAGAGGAAUAAGCACCGGCUAACUCCGUGCCAGCAGCCGCGGUAAUACGGAGGGUGCAAGCGUUAUCCGGAUUCACUGGGUUUAAAGGGUGCGUAGGUGGGUUUGUAAGUCAGUGGUGAAAUCUCCGUGCUUAACAUGGAAACUGCCAUUGAUACUAUGGAUCUUGAAUGUUCUGGAGGUUAGCGGAAUAUGUCAUGUAGCGGUGAAAUGCUUAGAUAUGACAUAGAACACCAAUUGCGAAGGCAGCUGGCUACAGGAUAUUGACACUGAGGCACGAAAGCGUGGGGAUCAAACAGGAUUAGAUACCCUUGUAGUC